UGUUACGAAAUUUAGAAAUUCAUUUCAAAAUUAAGGAUUAUCUCCCUCAUGCAUAGCUCUUAUCCUUGGACGAAUUUGGCUCCACUUUUUUGGCACGCUGUUUUUGGCUAUAUUUAGCUCUAAAACUUCAUAGUUAUUUCGGAUUUCAAAGAUUUCGGUUGAGCAUCACUGAAGAGACAUUAUUUGUCGAAAUGCGCAUCUGGUGCAUCAAAAUUGGUACCGUAUAAGUUUAACAUGCGGAAGUGGGAUGGAUAGUCAUAACUGCAUAAGUGAAUGUACUCAGUAUGUUUCUCACACACUGUUUCAUCACCCGAAUUCAACUGAUACACAAACUAAAAAAUGUUGCGACGUACCAAACGCCCUUCUAAAUCACCUUACGCCAGACUGGCACAACAUCCAGCUCUUCGUUCACUGCCCACAUGGACUUUGACCCCUGCAAUUCUAACCCAGACUCAACCCAUCCGACAACUCAACCCCAAGAGGA